rnacentral:lncRNA from 1 species
GCCGGCAUCCCCUUAUCCAAUCAGCGUGGCGUUUGUUUAGCUGCGGCGGCAACCGACGUACACAAGGGGCUCGAGUGUCCCGGUGGAGAGAAAGGGAGGACAGGCCAUGAACUUGGGGUAAGCCGGGGAGAGGAAGGUGGUCAUUAGCGAAGAGGAUGGUGAGCCUGGGUUGGGCUUCGAAGUCCUUCUCGGAGAGCUUUCCGGGUGCCCGACCCCGACUGGCACCGUCCGGUUCUUGAGAGAUGGUUUAAAGCUUGAAUCUGAAUUAUUGGAUGGAAAAACCAAGCUGAUAUUGUCUCCAUAUGGUAUGCUUGCUGUGUUACUGGAAAUCUAAAUGUUAACUUUUAAAUUUCUGUAUAUAAUUUAUACUAGUUUAAGACUAUUUGCUUGUAAUAGAUUGGUAUUUAAAUGAUACUUUGAAAAAGGCUGUAUUUCCCCAGACUUUCUCGAAUUUCCUUUCAGUAAUGUAAAGUCAAAUCACGU